rnacentral:lncRNA from 7 species
AUUAAGAAGCUGAAGCCCUGCAGCUUUUGCUGCCUGAGAGACAACCUCCAGUCCGGGACCGGUGUCAGGAGCUGCAGGAUUUUUUUGUUGUUUCUAAAUCAAGCGAAGGAAUUGAGCCGAUAGCAGUGACACUAAGUGAAUAAUUUUGCAUUGUGUGUGUGUAUUGCAGAGCUGUGCUUGCUGAACGGUCCUGUGCUGAACUAGUGCUGCUAGGGAACCCUCGUGGUGUACGGUGCUGCUGGGUGCAAUCAUUAAGGCAAUGAGCAAACGCUCUCCACUUGUUGUCCAACUUUGAAGACGGGCAGAUCUACAAGGUCCCCAGAAGCUCUGUUCCUAAAGCAGAAGUGCAAUAGUGCUCAAGGAGGAUUAAAGGACUAGGAUCGAGUACUUCCUAAAUACUGCUGCCUGCCCCUGUUCUAAACAACAGCUCAAAAAUAACAUACUUGCCUCUUCCGAGGGCUGUUCAAGAAGUAUAGGUAUGCACCCAAAAUAUAUCCAGAAGUUGAAAGAUCAGGCUCAACAUUUUGCAAAAAUAUUCCUACAGGGCAGUUUGACCUUCAGAAGAUACAGAACUGGCCCACGGUUCCUCUUUCUCUGAAGCUUUAGAAAAGAAUUCUGACAUAGGGCAUUUUGGUGGGUAGUUCAAUGCAAUGAACUUAAAAAAUAAGGCCAUGGAAGUACAACUACUGAUAAGCUCAGUGAUCAGUGACAGACUGCAAAACAGACAUCUGAUUUGCACAGAAACAUCUGGAGGGAGCUCCAAAUGCUCUGUGCUUGGUUCUGAGUCUCUGGGACUUGGCUCGUGGAAUUUUUAAUGUUCUUUUAAUCUCUUUUGAACAUAAAUAAGAGGGGAAG